AGCCAGCUGCCCAGUGCAGCUAGACCAGCCACACGCCCCGUUCUGGGUAAACCAGCUGUCCUCACGUCACAGAACAUUUUCCAGCCUGCUCUCCGGGAGACUGGAGGCUUAAGCCAGUAACAUCACCUGCUCGGGGAAGCCUUCUCCAGCCAAAGUGGAAACCUAGAGUUAGGUACCAGGAGCUCCAGGUAAGAAGAGACAGAAGUGAAAAAUCCCAUCCUGGGCAUGGGCUCAAGUUAAGAGCUCCUCCUCCUCCCGUUCAAUAAAAAAUUAAACUCACUCCCAGUUUGGAAAAGUUGGUACAACAGAGAACCACACCAGGGUGAACUGCCCAGACCCCUCCUCCUCUGCUGACCAACCCCACGGCAGGUCCAACCUCAUCAGGCUUCAAGCGAUAAAGGAAAAAACCAGCACUUCCUACAAAGGUCUUCCCAUUGCUUCAUUUAGAGGGUAGGAAUGUGGUUUCAGAAAACUUUAAAGACUGCGCCACGUACACCCUGCCCCUCACCCCCAGCUUGUGGCACUCAUCUUGCUUUACAAGUGAAUUCGGACAGGUUUCUGAGAAUGGCGAAAGCAGGUGCCAGGAAAGCCUUCCUGGGUACACAGAGUUCCUGCCCACCACAGAACUCUCCACGAGACGGCCCAGAAGGUAUGAAGCUGUGAUCCGACAACGAAAAUGACGUCACUUAAAAGCUAAUAAAGAUGACACAUGCCUCCAAAAGGAAUCAGAAAAGAUGUCAGUGUGAGGCGAAACCCCUUCACACCACCACCUCAACGGGGCAAAGAGUUUCUUUUAGGGCAAAAACCCCCAAUGACUUCUCCUCCAGUGGACCUGUUACUGUCACCCCCUGCCACCGACCAACUGAGAAGUCUGGUCCAACAGUCAGGCAAGUGUCUUAACUAGGGUUGGGGGGAGGGUAAACAGGAAUCAGGCUGCCAGUUUCUCCAGAUUAGAAUGUUCUAAUGUCCUGGGGUGGGAGAUGAGAGGAUCUCAGCCUGAAAGCCAGCAUGUGGGAGCCAAGGGCUAGUUGACCUGCACCAUUCAAUACGUAGACUUUCAUUCAGCACCCAUUUUCACCACUACCUGGUGCUCAAAUCCAGAUCCCUCUCAUUUAAGCUACUCCAUAAAGUAAAGCCAGAUCUUGUACUGGAGUGGCAGAAGGCAUCUGGGGGCCUAGUCAUCUCUGUCAACUUUCCACCAACCCUUUUGUCUUCAGCCACCCACCCCCAGCAACCCCGCAACCCAUGCCUUCAAAGGGGCCUGUCCCUGUGCUUGAAUCAGCUUGCUUCUUGUUGGCUGCCCACCCUCACACGCUUUCUCAGCAAGCUGCCGGAAGAUGGCCUCACCAAGACAAGGGAGUAAACUAAGAAAGGAGGGGGGCACCAACCCAGGAAGCUCCACAAGAGGAGGGAAGAAGGACUUCCCAGGAUGAAGGGGAAGCAGAGCCAGGGACGGGGUGCUUCCCAGGAGCACCGCACAACUGCCACGUACCCCGAAUGUCGAAGCACAAUGAGAGGAGUUUCCCCUCCGAGGACAGGAGCUCGACAGCAUGGCCAAGGCCCAGGGAAGAGUCAGAGUACUGGUGAGAGACAGAGGAAACUAAGCUAAAGACAUAAAGGAAAUUAACUGGGAGAGGAGAAGGGAAGGGGGGGACAAGAAAGCAAACAUGGAAAACUAAGAACUCUGCAGCCAGAAGCAACAUCUAUAACAAUGUACACUCCGAACAGCAACUUGACCACGUUGUGCUACCUCUGCACCAAGAGGAUGAGGGCGGAAAACGUGUAGGACUGAGCCAAGCAGCAAAGCAAAACAGACAACAUUAAAAAGGAAGGAGAGGAGGGCAUACUAUCUAGAAAUAGAGGUAAAUGGCGGAAAGGACAGGGAAUUGAGAGCAGCUGCCUCUGGAAGAGAACAGGAUGGGUGGGGGGCACUCAGGGCAAAGAGCUGUUCUUCCAAACCUUGUUCAGAGUCAAAAGUCAAAUCCUUCCACCAGCAAUGCUCUGAUAGAAAAUAAAUACAUUCUUAAGCUAUAUAGAAGUAGCAAUGGAUGCUCCAUUACCAUACAGCUUUGUUUCUUGUUAACCAUUAUAACAAAUAAAUACGUAUUAAGUCAAUUCAUUUAUGUACAAAUUUGUAAUGCUUUAUUUUCCCAUAAUAAUUGAUGCCAAUUUUGCUCCAGAGAUCCCCAACUGCCCUGCUGACAAAAUAGCAAUAAUCAAAAAAAGGACGUGCUUAUUGAUAGUUGGACCCUUUGGAGCCAUGGGAUCUGGUCUCUGCACUCCACCACCAGCAUCAGGUAGCAGGACCCCUCAGGGCUAGUCAUUUAAUAAAGACUUUAAUGCCCGCUGUGAGCUGGGUUCCAUUGCAGAUGCAAUGGAAAGAGCCCUCAGGAAGCAAAGGUGGAGGGAGGGGUAGGGAGUCACAUUUCAGAUAACAAGAUAGCAAAGAAGAUUCAACAACCAAACAUAAUAAACCUGCAGCCUCUCUCCACCGGUUCAGAGAACUGAGCCCUAGGCAUCCCGUGUAUGUAAUGAAUUAACUAUACUCCCUGUGCAUCCAGAAUGGUACUAGUUGGGAGAGCUGAGAAACAGGCACUGGAUCACCUCUGAGUUCUGUAGCUUAGAUGAGGAAACCAGGAUGAGAAAGGUGGACAAGCAUGCUGGGGAGAGCGGGGAGCUUUCGAUACAACAGUAUGGGAACGCCUCUCCGAAGAGGUGGCUGCAGAGCUGGAGCAGCCCUGCCAAGAUACGGGAGGACAGGGAAAGGAGAGGGGGAGAAAGUUCCAGGCAGGGAGAACGUGUGCCAAAGUCCUAAGGCAGGAACAAGCUUGGCUGACUCAAGAGACAGCAAGAAAGGGAGGCGAGGACGAGGUCAGAGGGCUGCUGCCAGAAAAACGGCUUCCCAGCAUCACCGGGCAGAAGCACUGCUGAAAGUCAAGAACCCGGAGGAACAGGUUCCCCGAACUUCCUCCAGAGAGGGGAACCGACUUGUACCAAGAGCCAGGGGGCGGUAGUUUCUUAAUUAAUAAACAGAAGCUGAUUCCAGAAACUAUUCCAGAAACAGGAUGCCUCUGUGGCUGGUGGCAUGACAGGUACACAAUGUGUAAGUACACAGGGACUCAUUUUUCACUUCGAGUUCUCAGCAAGUGCAUUUGCCAGGAAGACCUGGGCUUGCAUCACACAACAGUCUUCGAGAGCCUCGGCUAGACCCUUACCCUCAGCUCGCACCCCCUCAAAAUAAUCUGUUCCAAUAAGGUGGUGUUGCCCCGGGGGGGGGUGGCUGGGGACAGACACACACAGUGCCCCACACCAGCCCUUGCUGCUACUUCGAAUCAGACUUUGUGAAAACAAGCUCGCUCUCCAGCCAACAUAAACCAUAGGCAACAGAGGACCUUAUAUGGCUCGAAGCUUUCUUAAUCAGAAACAAAUAGAUGGGCUGGAGUUGGCAGCUCCAAAUUAGACAGAAGGAACAGAAAAAGAAAAAGAAAAGAAAGGGUGGCGGCGAAGCCCAGAACUUGUGUGUCACACUCCUUGUUCACAUCUCCUCAGCCUCAGUGGCUCCCCACUAAGACUUCCUACUGAGGGAAAUGGCUUUGCCUCCUCUUAUGCUUUUCUUUUAGUUUAAGCCAAAGGACUCCAGUAAUCAGGCUGCCAGCAGAUCCACAGUUUUACAGAGUUUUUAGUGCCACUUUAAUAACCUGCCCUUAGGUUGGGUCACUUCCCAUGAAAAUGGGAUUACGUGAUUUCCUGAGAUUGGCUGGUGAGGCAACAAGGGGUCCUCAUGCCCCUCCACAGGGAAUUCCUGGCUCACUGGACUGCCUCGGUCACAUGCGGGCCUGGCCCAGGAGGCAGGGUUGGGUCCCUGCCACAGAGCUGGAAUAGAAAAGGCAGUUCCAGAGACCUGCUAAGGGGCCACCUCCCACACAUACACACUCCAUGACAGUUUCUAGGGAGGCUUUUCUCUCCUUCUUCUCCUGAUUUGGAGGCAACAGCAGCUUUGGCACCAGGACCUGCCCUGUACACUGAAGCCACAUGCACUUGGCCCUCCUAAAGGAUGCCACCUGCUAAAAAUAGCACAGUAGCACAUUCCUGGCCGGGUGGGCCUCACCAAAGUCAAAGGACAAAGCAGGAAGGUUAUUCUCAGCACAGCCUUUUCUAACCAGAGACAGCUCAGGGCACAUCUGAGUGCAGGCCUCCUUCCAAGGCAGCUCAAGGCAAGUCACUCCUGCUCCUUUCUCUUUGGAGGGAGAGCAAGGAGGUGCAAGAAGGAGAUCUCCAGAAGACUGCACUGGCCUUCAGAGCUGUUGUCCCAGGCCAAGGCUGGAGGAGAAGGGGCGGGGGUAGCAGUGCGGCGUGGGGCUGAUGGCUGGGAUUGAACAGAUCCUGUUUCCUCCUCCAACAGGGACCAAGCUACUCCCGGGUGACAGCCUGCUGAGGGCCAGGGGAUGGUCUCGUGACCUCCAUGUGAGGUCUGACAGGCCACAUUAUUAUUAGCCGGGGAAUCAGUUAGUUCAAGGUUGUCUUUUCAACCAGGCAACUGAGCUAAACCAUAGCCUUCAGAGCAGUUUUGCAGGCCCUAAGGCACAGCUACCUAGUCUAGGAGGCUGCCUUAGUCAUAGUCAUUAUUUGUGUAGCUCAAAGGCACUGAAUGGUUGCAUAACAUGAUGAUAAAACAUGGCUUAGGAAAGCCAAGAUCAUUAAAGAUCCUGAAAUUCAGUUUCCUGGAAAAUGAAAAUAUUCUGUAAAAUGGGAUACGAUCACCUCCCUCAUAGGGCUGAAAUGACUCAAAACACCCAACAGUCUGACUCAGUUUGUGGGAUAAACGAUUUUAAUCUUUUAAAAACCCAGUUUCAUUUUCCGGAUAAGGAUGGAGGGACAAUGGGGCAGUAAAUAUGAAACAGUCUCUGAGCAUUAAGCUGGAGACAGAGCCUCGAUCUAGGUCCAAGGUCAGCCCAGCCUUCACUGUGCCCUGGGAUCAACUUACUUCCUCAGAGCCUCAGUUUCCUCAUACAGCCUAGAAAUACUUAACCUCAUAGGGCUGAGGGAAUAGAAAAGGGAAUCGUUUGGAAAAAAAAAA